rnacentral:rRNA from 1 species
UAGCUACUUGCAUCAUUGAAAAUAUGAUGCAAGAUCGACUAUGUCGAAUAAAAUUCUAGGUAGAAUUAUGAUAAUGACAUUGUCUGCCUAUGUGUCUUGACCAAAUUACGUGCCAGCAGUCGCGGUAAUACGUAGAAGACUAGUGUUAUUCAUGUUUAAUCGGUUUAAAGGGUACCUAGACGGUAAAUCAAGCCUAAAAGGAAGGAAAUAAAGGGACUAAUUUACUAGAGUUACUUAUGAGGGGGUAUUAAAGUACUGCUGGUGUAGAGAUGAAAUUCUGUCAUACCUCUUUUCAAUAGAAAAAUAAUGGCACAGGUAUAGGCGAAAGCAUCCCCUUAUGUGAUAACUGACGUUGAGGGACGAAGGCUUUGUGUAGCGAACAGGAUUAGAUACCCCAGUAGUCAAAGCAGAAAAUGAUGAAUGUCAUAGAUUAGAUAUAUAAGUUUAUUCUAUAAAUGAAAGUGUAAGCAUUCCACCUCAAGAGUAAUUUGGCAACAUUGGAACUGAAAUCAUUAGACCGUUUCUGAAACCAGUAGUGAAGUAUGUUGUUUAAUUUGAUAAUCCGCAAAAAACCUUACCACAAUUUGAAUAUUUAUAUUUUUUUUAUUGUUUUUCUUUUUAAUUUUCUUCCGAUUUUCUAGUUAAAGGAAAAUUAGAAGAAAAAGAAAAAAGAGGCAUA